UAAAAUAUUAUUAAUUAAGUAGUAAAGAAAUCUCCGAAACUUAAAGAAUUUGGCGGUGUUUUAAAUAAUUGGAGGAAUCUGUUAAAUAAAUGAUAUUCCACAACAAAUCUUUCCUUAUUUUUGUUUGUAUAUCGUCAUUUACAGACAAUGUUUAAAAAUAAUAGUCGCAAUUAAUUUUAAAUCCCGUAAAUUAGAUCAAGGUGCAGCAUAAUAAGGUUAUAAUGGAUUACAAUAUUAAUAAAAUAUUUACGAAUAAGAAAGAGAAACUCUUUCUUUGAAGGAGGAUUCAAAUGUAAUUUAAAAAUAAUUUGUUUCUUUGAAUAAUAUCUUAAAACAUGC
rnacentral:rRNA from 1 species